rnacentral:lncRNA from 1 species
GGUUUAAUUGGAUUAGUAUUCUGUCGUAUGGCUAGAAAUUAAGUUUGGUCGAGUCACGUUCAAAAUGGCUUGAAACUUGGAUGAGCCGAGUCAUGUUCGACGUGACGUGAGGUUAGUUGGACUGACUCACAAUCAAAAUUCGUGGGCGCUCUAUCUAGACCCUUUAAUUAUGUAUUUCUAACGGCUCAAGUUUUGGGAAUUAAGGUUAGCGCCAACGAUCCAAUAAUUGGUAUCAGAGGCAGAGGUCACGGGUUCGACUUUCGCAUACUGCAAAUUUGUGCAUAUGCUGGAGGAAGGAUUGUUAGCUUAAAUAUCAUGUCCUAUGAUUGGAGGCCAGGUUGAGAUAAGUCAUAUUCGAAGUAGCCUGUGAGGCUGGUCGGGCAAAGUUAAAAUCGAGACUCGUAGAUACUGUAUUUGUACACUUUAAGUAAAUUGAUUGUAUAUUUAUAACAGCUCGAGCUUUUGGAAUUAUUAUGCAGAUUACUAUUUAAAAUUCGAAUGUCUUACUCUUUAGAAAGCUAU